AUCUCCAGCCAGGUUCUCUUUCCAUGUUCUCUCGCUAGGUUCUCCAGCCAGGUUCUCCAGGCAGGUUCGGUUGCCAGGUUCUUUAGCCAGGUUCUCCAGCCAGGUUCUGUGUAGGUUCUCCUGCCAAGAUCUGUAGCCAGGUUCUGUCCAGGAUCUUUUGCCAU